rnacentral:rRNA from 1 species
AAAAAUGAGAGUUUGAUCCUGGCUCAGGACGAACGCUGGCGGCGUGCCUAAUACAUGCAAGUCGAGCGAACAGAACUAGCAGAUCUUCUUCGGAAGUGACGCUAGGAAAGUUAGCGGCGGAUGGGUGAGUAACACGUGGGUAACCUGCCCUAUAGUCUGGGAUACCAUUUGGAAACAGGUGCUAAUACCGGAUAAGAGAGCAGUUCGCAUGAACAGCUUUUAAAAGGCGGCGUAAGCUGUCGCUAAAGGAUGGACCCGCGGUGCAUUAGCUAGUUGGUAAGGUAACGGCUUACCAAGGCAACGAUGCAUAGCCGAGUUGAGAGACUGAUCGGCCACAUUGGGACUGAGACACGGCCCAAACUCCUACGGGAGGCAGCAGUAGGGAAUCUUCCACAAUGGACGCAAGUCUGAUGGAGCAACGCCGCGUGAGUGAAGAAGGUUUUCGGAUCGUAAAGCUCUGUUGUUGGUGAAGAAAGACAGAGGUAGUAACUGGCCUUUGUUUGACGGUAAUCAACCAGAAAGUCACGGCUAACUACGUGCCAGCAGCCGCGGUAAUACGUAGGUGGCAAGCGUUGUCCGGAUUUAUUGGGCGUAAAGCGAGCGCAGGCGGAAGAAUAAGUCUGAUGUGAAAGCCCUCGGCUCAACCGAGGAAGUGCAUCGGAAACUGUUUUUCUUGAGUGCAGAAGAGGAGAGUGGAACUCCAUGUGUAGCGGUGGAAUGCGUAGAUAUAUGGAAGAACACCAGUGGCGAAAGCGGCUCUCUGGUCUGCA